GGGGAAAAGUUGAAGCUUUAUUGAAAGAUUUUGAGGAGAAGUGUGCAACUCCAGUGGAAAAAUUAAAGCAGGUAGCUGAUGCUAUGACUGUAGAGAUGCAAGCUGGACUUGCUUCUGAAGGUGGGAGUAAGCUCAAGAUGCUUAUUAGCUAUGUUGAUAACCUUCCUACUGGGGAUGAAAAAGGUCUGUUUUAUGCAUUGGAUCUAGG
rnacentral:misc_RNA from 1 species